AGUGAACGCUGGCGGUAGGCCUAACACAUGCAAGUCGAACUGCAGCACAGUAAGAGCUUGCUCUUACGGGUGGCGAGUGGCGGACGGGUGAGGAAUACAUCGGAAUCUACUUUUUCGUGGGGGAUAACGUAGGGAAACUUGCGCUAAUACCGCAUACGACCUACGGGUGAAAGCAGGGGAUCUUCGGACCUUGCGCGAUUGAAUGAGCCGAUGUCGGAUUAGCUAGUUGGCGGGGUAAAGGCCCACCAAGGCGACGAUCCGUAGCUGGUCUGAGAGGAUGAUCAGCCACACUGGAACUGAGACACGGUCCAGACUCCUACGGGAGGCAGCAGUGGGGAAUAUUGGACAAUGGGCGCAAGCCUGAUCCAGCCAUACCGCGUGGGUGAAGAAGGCCUUCGGGUUGUAAAGCCCUUUUGUUGGGAAAGAAAAGCAGCAGGUUAAUACCCCGCUGUUCUGACGGUACCCAAAGAAUAAGCACCGGCUAACUUCGUG
rnacentral:rRNA from 1 species